GCCACCUCCGGGCGAGCGGGCGGGUGAGAGCGUGGGGCGCGGGGGUUGUCCGGAUUGCGUGGGCGUCAAGGGCUCGUGGGCGGCUUGUUGCGUCGGCUGUGGAAUCCGAUGGCUCAACUGUGGGCUUGCAGCCGAUACGGGCGGGCUAGAGUUCGGUAGGGGAGACUGGAAUUCCUGGUGUAGCGGUGAAAUGCGCAGAUAUCAGGAGGAACACCGGUGGCGAAGGCGGGUCUCUGGGCCGAUACUGACGCUGAGGAGCGAAAGCGUGGGGAGCGAACAGGAUUAGAUACCCGUGUAGUC
rnacentral:rRNA from 1 species